rnacentral:lncRNA from 1 species
CUCUAGAGAAAAAAAAAAAAAAAAAAAAACAGCUGAAGAAAAGACUGAACAACGAGGAAAAGGGGUGUCAGAAGGCUUUGUCCCCACAACCAGUGAGGACAUCCUGAGUGCUGGGUCUGGAAUGCAGAAAGGGAGCAAGAGGCAACCGAUAACAGAUGCUGGGAUUUAGCCACCCCCUUCCUUUCUAUGCCUGCACCAAUUCCCUAGGGGCCCAGGGUCAGAAGCUUUGAUUGGGCUCAUCGUUCCAAGUUGACAGCUGCACGUUUGUUCUUGUCUGAGUCUCUUGCUGCUUCUCAACCUGGCCUCCCGAAGAUGGACUCAUCCAAAGCCUGACAUGGAGACUGAAACUUAGGGUAUUCAUCUCUGUCAUCAUCUACAUUCACUUAUUUAUUGGGUGCUGACUACAGGCUCCAAGAAACAGUCGGACCACUGAAAGCUAUGCAGCUAGCUCCAUCUGAAUAGGCCUGCUCCAAUUUUCCAACUCAGGACUAUUUUUUCUCACCUGUCCCUGUCUUCUCUGUUACUCAAAUUCUUUUGGGGGUGAAAAAAUGGAAACACAAAGUAGGUAAAACCAAAUAUGAUUUAGGUUGAAAAGCAAUCAAUUGAAAAUUCCUGUAUGCAGAACCAUUGUCUUAUUUAAAUAUAUUUACUUUUUACAUUUUAAAAAUUGCUCAUCAAAGUUUAUUCUACCAC